rnacentral:rRNA from 1 species
CAGCAGCCACGGUAAUACGUAGGUGGCAAGCGUUAUCCGGAAUUAUUGGGCGUAAAGCGCGCGUAGGCGGUCUUUUAAGUCUGAUGUGAAAGCCCACGGCUCAACCGUGGAGGGUCAUUGGAAACUGGAAAACUUGAGUGCAGAAGAGGAAAGUGGAAUUCCAUGUGUAGCGGUGAAAUGCGCAGAGAUAUGGAGGAACGCCAGUGGCGAAGGCGACUUUCUGGUCUGUGACUGACGCUGAUGUGCGAAAGCGUGGGGAUCAAACAGGAUUAGAUACCCCUGUAGUCCCUGUCUCUUAUAC